rnacentral:rRNA from 1 species
UACCCGCUGAACUUAAGCAUAUCAAUAAGCGGAGGAAAAGAAACCAACAGGGAUUGCCCCAGUAACGGCGAGUGAAGCGGCAACAGCUCAAAUUUGAAAUCUGGCUUCGGCCCGAGUUGUAAUUUGUAGAGGAAGAUUUUGGUGAGGCACCUUCUGAGUCCCCUGGAACGGGGCGCCAUAGAGGGUGAGAGCCCCGUAUAGUUGGAUGCCUAGCCUGUGUAAAUCUCCUUCGACGAGUCGAGUAGUUUGGGAAUGCUGCUCUAAAUGGGAGGUAAAUUUCUUCUAAAGCUAAAUAUUGGCCAGAGACCGAUAGCGCACAAGUAGAGUGAUCGAAAGAUGAAAAGCACUUUGAAAAGAGGGUUAAACAGCACGUGAAAUUGUUGAAAGGGAAGCGCUUGUGACCAGACUUGCGCCGGGCGGAUCAUCCGGUGUUCUCACCGGUGCACUCCGCCCGGCUCAGGCCAGCAUCGGUUUUCGUGGGGGGAUAAAGGCCCGGGGAACGUAGCUCCUCCGGGAGUGUUAUAGCCCUGGGCGCAACGCCCUCGCGGGGACCGAGGUUCGCGCUUCUGCAAGGAUGCUGGCGUAAUGGUCAUCAGCGACCCGUCUUGAAACACGGACCAAGGAGUCAAGGUUUUGCGCGAGUGUUUGGGUGUAAAACCCGCACGCGUAAUGAAAGUGAACGUAGGUGAGAGCUUCGGCGCAUCAUCGACCGAUCCUGAUGUAUUCGGAUGGAUUUGAGUAGGAGCGUUAAGCCUUGGACCCGAAAGAUGGUGAACUAUGCUUGGAUAGGGUGAAGCCAGAGGAAACUCUGGUGGAGGCUCGCAGCGGUUCUGACGUGCAAAUCGAUCGUCAAAUCUGAGCAUGGGGGCGAAAGACUAAUCGAACCAUCUAGUAGCUGGUUACCGCCGAAGUUUCCCUCAGGAUAGCAGUGUUGUUCUUCAGUUUUAUGAGGUAAAGCGAAUGAUUAGGGACUCGGGGGCGCUUUUUAGCCUUCAUCCAUUCUCAAACUUUAAAUAUGUAAGAAGCCCUUGUUACUUAAUUGAACGUGGGCAUUCGAAUGUACCAACACUAGUGGGCCAUUUUUGGUAAGCAGAACUGGCG